rnacentral:lncRNA from 1 species
CUUAAUCAAUAAAUCCCUCCUCUGUCUCCCUUUUCUUACACUCGUCCCUGCAAGAGUUUAUAGGCAGUUCAAGAAAAGACAAGGAAAAUAUUUUAAUCAAGUUCUUGUGUUAGUACCAUUAAACAAGAAAUCGAGGGGGGUGAUUGUUGUUGUAGAAAAGAUAUUAAGAUAUGUAUAUGAAGGUGGUUUCAGCAAGCAAAGGGAGCAAGAUACUUCUUCUUCUGGUGGUGAUCAUUGGUUUGAUGGUAACAUCAGCUGUUGCCAAAGGCGGUAGAGGUUUUGGAGGCGGUGGUACCUUGGGAGGCAGCAGAGCUGCUGGUACCGGUGGAGUUAUUGGUGGGGCUAGAGCCACUACUGGUGGCAAAACCUCAGCUUCUGUGACAUGGGGUCCCACUUCCACUUUUUGGCUACUUCUCAUGAAUUUCAUAUUCUUAAUGGUUUAAUUCAAUCUGUGAAACACACCUCUCUCUAGUCUCAAUUCUCACAUGGUCUGGCAAAAGGCCUCUAUUUAGUUUAUUCUUUAUUUCUUUGUCGCAGAGCAUUAAUUUAUUAUUAGCAAAAACUCAAAGAGAAUAAAUUGUUAGAGCCGUUUAUUAAUCGGUAGUUGUUAUUUUGUUUAAGUAUUUUUUAUUUAUAAAUGUAUUGAAAUAAUUUUUUUAUUUUUUAAAAUUUAUUUUUAGAUAUUAGCUUAAUAAAAUAAUAUGAAAAUACAAAAAAUUAAUUUUGUCGUCUCAACAUAAGAAAUCUUGGAUCAAGAAAUACAUAAUUAAGAAAUAAAUUGAUUCCAAAACACAUAACAACAACAAGUGUAAUUAAUAUAUAUGUGCUCGACGUCGUCAAACCCUAAUUAAUCUUGUCGUCUCAACAUCAAAACGCAUGCAUGAUUAAAUCAUUAGAUCUCUAGUAAAAUAAAAACAACAACAAUCGAUCAAGAUCGCUUGCGAGUGAUCCAUUCUCGCAUGCACGGAGAAACUGCAAGCCAACCCUUCUACUUCAGGCCGGCGGCAGGCCUCCAAAGGAUAAUCUCACCCUCAACCUCGUCAACUCCAUCAUCAUGGUGGACAACAGCAGCACCAUCAUCCUUCAUUAGAGGUUUCUCCAGUAUUGUUAACUCAAGCUCCUCACAUAAUUCAGCCACCAACUCAUCGAAAUAACUCCAAUCUAUCUCGAAUGGUUCGUAGACAUCAUAAGAAUAAUCAUGGUAAUUGAACACGUUAUUGUUCACUACUGUCUCGCAUGCUUCUUCAUUGCCAUGAUCAGUACUGUAGACAUCGUAAAAAUCAUCAUAGUUGAACACAUGAAAGAGAGUAAUAGAUGGUAUGGUUUGUUUCCCUUGCAAUAUUCUAUCAGCAUAUUCUUGAUGGCUAAGAUCGAUUACAAGGAAAACCUACGCACCUCUCGGUAGAAUAACGAAGAAAGUAAAGAGAAAACCUGCUUGUCAACAAUAAGGAUAUGAUAAAUUCUUAUGUAGACAAUCCAUGUGUGGCCAAUCACAUAUAUAUAUAUAUAUAUAUAUAUAUAUAUAUUGGCCAAUGAUUGAAUCAAUAUCGUAUUAGGAUUCGUCUCCUUAACUACCUUCUGGUUUUUUUACCCGGUCUUAUAUCAGUCCCCUAACUAUAUACUAAUUCUCAAUUGGAUCCCCUAAAACCACCAAGUUUUUCAAUUGGGUCUCAAGAUCGUAAGGCAUUCCUCCCAUGAGUGUCGUUGUCUAGGAUUGUUAAUGUUUCUCUUCUAAACCCCUUAUAUCAUGUAAUAAAACGGUGGCUUUUUGUGUGAGAUGAGAAGAGUUUAAGCAGAACGGAUCAAAUUGAAAAGAAUAGUUGGAAACAUAUGGUUUCCUUGUCAAUUUAUUAAAUUCAUAUGACAUAUAUUCAUAAUUUUAGAUUUCUUCAAUCAAAUCCCUAAUUAGCCAUAUAUAACAUCAUCUCCUGGACAUUAAUCUGAGCUGAAACUGAUGUUACAGGGAGUCUAUUUUGACUGUAAGCGAAGAACUGACUUGCAAAUGCCAGAAGAGCGCAACUUGUGAUCCCCAAAACCCAUGUUCUGAACGUCAAGCAUGAUAAUGUUGGCUCGUCUGUAAUCGGAACUGUGAGCCUGACUUGCUCGAAUAUUGGCGAAUCAUUUGCCUCUUCUGCAGAAAAUUUUAUUUUAAUAAACAGAAAAGGAGGCAGCAAUCCUUCAUCAGAGACUGCCAUUAUUAGAAAAUCAUGCAUUAGACUGUUCAGUACUUUACUUUGCAUUCCUUAGCAAGUGCGACUCAAUUGGAGAUGCAUUGGAUUGCUACAAUAUUUAAGACUUGUUAGAGAUAUAUAGUUCUGAUUGUCAAAAAGUUUUACUAACUCCAUUACUUGGUUUUUUAAAUUUAAAUUAAAUAUUUUUAUGAGUUUAUAUUAAAAAAUUGACAUUUAAAAGAAUUUAUACUCUUAAAUGUAUCUGAGCUCGUGAACAUUGUAGGAGAUAUAUGGGCUCUAUUAUUUCUAGUCGUAAUUAUGAAUCACCAAAAACCUUCAAUUCUCCAAAUUUUCCUUUACAAUAGACCAAGGAUCAUGGGCCUUAUUCCCAGUAGUAGUUAAUUAAUAAUUAAUUAAGAAUUAUAUAUAUAUAUAUAUAUAUAUAUAUAUAUAUAUAUAUAUAUUUCUUUUUAGUUUUGAUCAAAAGCUUUAUUUAUUUUUUAUUUUCCAAUUCUUAAGUUUUAAAAAAGAAAAGAGAAAGUUGUUUGAAAAUAACAAAAAUAAAAAAUUAUUUAUUAAUCACGUCUCAGCUACAAAAAAAAUAUUGUUUUUAGUAUGAAUAUUUUUAAUUAAACAUUCAGUUCUUAAUUAAAAAUACAACCAGUUAAAUCAAAAAUUUUAUUUUUCUAAGAUUUAGAAUCGGACUAAACCUUACCUGAAACGGGUUCAAACCAAUUGUUUUUCAGUUAAGUAUCAGGAAGAGCCGAAAGGGUUAGGUGACUUAAUUUCUCCAUCGUUGUACAAAAAAACUUCAUGGUAAAUUAAUAUUGCUUUUGUAUAAUCAAUUCAAUAGGGUCUCCCUGUAGAUCAAGCAUUAUACACCCCUUAAUUUUAUCUUCAUGUCCACACCUUUCCAACAAACCAUGCCAUAAAAAAAGAAGUUGCUGAAUGCAAAAGAUCAUAACACAUCACAGCCAAAAAGCCUCCAAUGCACUCUUAACCGUUGUAAUAUUGGAUUUUUGGUUUUGGGUACGCAGAGCCUGGAAGUUCAACUACCGAGUGUUGUAGCGGGCAAAGAGCUGAGAAUAAAGAGAAUUCAUGCAUGAAGCCCUGUAUAUAAAAUUGACCACACCAUUUUAAUUUAGCCCCGGCAAACUCAAUUAUCUGCCUCUAAGUUAAUUAGGUGUUUUUUUCAUUUUGAUUUUUGGUUCUGAAUUUUUGCAUUUUAACUCUUAAUUGACCAACAAACUUUUAAUUUUUUUAAUUUGGCCACUGAUUUGGUCAAUUUCAACCCCUAUAUUCAUGCGUAUUUUCCAUUUUGAUAUUUAAUUUUAGAUUUCUUCAAUUAAGUCCCUAAUUGUCCAUCAAACUUUCAUAUUUAUGCAAUUAAGCCCUUGAUUUGACCAAAUUAACUCCUAAAAAUAUUCAACCCCCGAACUUCAAUUCUUCCAAUUAAAGCUUAAAUUGACUUUAAAAAUGAGAAUCUCAUAUCAACCUCUGGUGAAUUGGCGAGAGGCUCCUAGGGAGAUCAUGUUAAUCCCUUCCUUCGAAAGUAUCUGAAAACCCUCUCUAGAGAUCUGUAAAUAGAAAAUGUAUGUCAGAGAUACAUUAUUUUUAUUUUAAAAAUAAACUUAUAUUUCUAUUGAGGAUUAUACAUCCUAAGGUGAUUUGUGUGAUAUGUAUAGGGGAGAUCCUUAGGAGUAACAUGUCUUGGAGGUAGCGCCAAGAUAUUUGCUUUGACUGCCCUAAUAACUUCAAAUGAGUGAUCAUUAAGAUACACCAAAUGACCAUGGCUCGAUCCCUCGUGGUUCUUCCUCGAGCUAUCAUUUCUACUAGAAGAAUGAUUUUACUUGAAAGGUUCUUGGUUGUCGAUGUAAUAAGAAGGGGGCCCACGUCGUAGCAAAUCAGCCUCUUCCACCUGUAUGUGAUUUUUCAUGACUUGUUUCACCUUGAGUAAACUUUUGUCUAGUAAAGCAUAAAGUUUUCUCCAAAUGACAUGUUCUCUUACCCUUUUAAUCAAGGUCUCUAAAGCUACUAGCUCAAGUAAUUCUUCCACAUUGAGCAUCUCCUCAUUGAACCUCUUCAAAUAUGUCUGUGUAGACUUACCCUCUUGUUGGGUAAGACAUUCCUCCAACGAGUCUAGUUGUCUAGGAUUUUUAAUGUUUCCUUUCUAAAUUUCAUAUAUCAUGAAAUAAAAUUAUGUCUUUUUGGGUGAAAUUUGACUAAAUGAGAAGGGUUUGAGUAGAACUUCUAAAUUAAGAGAUGGAUGACACAAUAUGGAUCAAAUUGAAAAAAACAGUGGUUUGGAUACUACAUUGAGAGUUAAGUCAUAGUUGGAGAAGCAAUUUAAGGUUUCCUUAUCAAUUUAUUAAAUUCAUACUGGGAAAGGGAUGCAUUGUUAAGGUUAUUCAAAAAGAAGAUUUGGUUAUAAGCAAGGCAAAGAUUUUGAAUCACUCAUGUAAUUAUGAAUUACCGAACCUUGAAGCCUCCAUAUUUUCCUUUGAAAGAUGGGCUUCAUUUCCAGUACGUAGUAAUUAAGAAAAAACUAGAAGAUCUCUAUACUUUGCCAUGAUGCAGCAUUAGGAGUCUAAUUGGAUCAGAAGAGGCAGCGUGUUUAGACAAUUGGAAGAUAUUUAGUUAAUUUGUAAUAAAAUCGACCACCAAGAAAUUGUCCUUCUAGCUACCUCCAAUCUUUUUGCAAGUCCCUAUAUAUUAUUUGUAAUAAAGAACGAAGAAAUUUCCUAUAAAAAAAAUUGCAAGUCCCUUCCUCAACCAUCCAUCCAUGUCCAAGAAACAUCCAACACAAAUGUCAUAAAAAAUAGCAAAGCAAAUAUAUUAUAUUAUCAACACGGUCUCUUCUUUCCUCGAAGUAAUCCCAUCACAUCACACGUCUCCUUAAUCUGUAAAUCCUUCCCAUGUCUCAAUUCUCUUACACGCAGCCCUGAAAAAAUUUAUAGAUAGUUCAAGAAAAGAAAAGGAAAAUAUUGUAAUGAUCAAGUGUUUGUGUCAUUACCAUAAACAAGAAAUCGAAGGGGGGACGUGGUUGUUGUUGCGCUUGUAUAAAACAGCUGAGAUAUAUACUUCUUCUAGUGGUAAUCAUUGGUUUGAUGGUAACAUCAGCUGUUGCUAAAGCCAGUGGAGGUUUACGGGGCGGUGGUUUCUUGGGAGGCCGCAGAGCUGCUGGUACCGGUGGGAUUUAUUGGAGGGGCCGGCUAGUAUUACCACUGGUGGUAAAACCUCAGCUUCUG